rnacentral:rRNA from 1 species
GACAGAGGUCCCGAGCGUUAGGCGGAAUCACUGGGCUUAAAGCGUGUGUAGGCGGGCCCGUAAGUGUCUUGUGAAAUCCCCCGGCUCAACCGGGGAACGGCUGGGCAUACUGCGGGUCUUGGGCCGACUAGGGGCAGCCGGAACAAGCGGUGGAGCGGUGAAAUGCGUAGAUAUCGCUUGGAACGCCGAAGGUGAAAACAGGCUGCUGGGGUCGCGCCGACGCUGAGACACGAAAGCCAGGGGAGCAAACGGG